CCCUGGUAGUCCACGCUGUAAACGAUGUCGAUUUGGGGGUUGAGCUUUGAGCUUGGCGCCCGUAGCUAACGUGAUAAAUCGACCGCCUGGGGAGUACGGCCGCAAGGUUAAAACUCAAAUGAAUUGACGGGGGCCCGCACAAGCGGUGGAGCAUGUGGUUUAAUUCGAUGCAACGCGAAGAACCUUACCUACUCUUGACAUCCAGAGAACUUAGCAGAGAUGCUUUGGUGCCUUCGGGAACUCUGAGACAGGUGCUGCAUGGCUGUCGUCAGCUCGUGUUGUGAAAUGUUGGGUUAAGUCCCGCAACGAGCGCAACCCUUAUCCUUUGUUGCCAGCGGUCCGGCCGGGAACUCAAAGGAGACUGCCAGUGAUAAACUGGAGGAAGGUGGGGAUGACGUCAAGUCAUCAUGGCCCUUACGAGUAGGGCUACACACGUGCUACAAUGGCAUAUACAAAGAGAAGCGACCUCGCGAGAGCAAGCGGACCUCAUAAAGUAUGUCGUAGUCCGGAUUGGAGUCUGCAACUCGACUCCAUGAAGUCGGAAUCGCUAGUAAUCGUAGAUCAGAAUGCUACGGUGAAUACGUUCCCGGGCCUUGUACACACCGCCCGUCACACCAUGGGAGUGGGUUGCAAAAGAAGUAGGUAGCUUAACCUUCGGGAGGGCGCUUACCACUUUGUGAUUCAUGACUGGGGUGAAGUCGUAACAAGGUAACCGUAGGGGAACCUGCGGUUG
rnacentral:rRNA from 1 species